rnacentral:rRNA from 1 species
GAUGAACGCUGGCGGCGUGCCUAAUACAUGCAAGUCGAGCGAACGGACGAGAAGCUUGCUUUUCUGAUGUUAGCGGCGGACGGGUGAGUAACAAGUGGAUAACCUACUUAUAAGACUGGGAUAACUUCGGGAAAACGGAGACAAUACCGGAGAAUAUUUUGAACCGCUUGGUUCAAAAGUGAAAGACGGUCUUCCUGUCACUUAUAGAUGGAUCCGCGCUGCAUUAGCUAGUUGGUAAGGUAACGGCCUACCAAGGCAACGAUGCAUAGCCGACCUGAGAGGGUGAUCGGCCACACUGGAACUGAGACACGGUCCAGACUCCUACGGGAGGCAGCAGUAGGGAAUCUUCCGCAAUGGGCGAAAGCCUGACGGAGCAACGCCGCGUGAGUGAUGAAGGUCUUCGGAUCGUAAAGCUCUGUUGUUAGGGAAGAACAUAUGUGUAAGUAACUGUGCACAUCUUGACGGUACCUAAUCAGAAAGCCACGGCUAACUACGUG